GAGUUUGAUCGUGGCUCAGGAUGAACGCCGGCGGUGUGCCUAAUACAUGCAAGUCGAACGCGUUGGCCCAACUGAUUGAACGUGCUUGCACGGACUUGACGUUGGUUUACCAACGAGUGGCGGACGGGUGAGUAACACGUAGGUAACCUGCCCCAAAGCGGGGGAUAACAUUUGGAAACAGAUGCUAAUACCGCAUAACAGUUUGAAUCGCAUGAUUCAAACUUAAAAGAUGGUUUCGGCUAUCACUUUGGGAUGGACCUGCGGCGCAUUAGCUUGUUGGUAGGGUAACGGCCUACCAAGGCUGUGAUGCGUAGCCGAGUUGAGAGACUGAUCGGCCACAAUGGAACUGAGACACGGUCCAUACUCC
rnacentral:rRNA from 1 species